rnacentral:misc_RNA from 1 species
GAUGAAGAACGCAGCGAAAUGCGAUAAGUAGUGUGAAUUGCAGAAUUCAGUGAAUCAUCGAAUCUUUGAACGCACAUUGCGCCCCUCGGUAUUCCGUGGGGCAUGCCUGUUCGAGCGUCAUUUACCCCUCAAGCACUGCUUGGUGUUGGGCGUCUGUCCCGCUUCGCGCGCGGACUCGCCCCAAAGGUAUUGGCAGCGGUCGUGCCAGCUUCUCGCGCAGCACAUUGCGCUUCUCGAGGCGGUCGAUCGGCGUCCACGAAGCUCACCUCCACCGUUUGACCUCGGAUCAGGCAGGGAUACCCGCUGAACUUAAGCAUAUCAAUAAGCGGAGGA